rnacentral:rRNA from 1 species
UACGUAGGGGGCGAGCGUUGUCCGGAUUUAUUGGGCGUAAAGAGCUCGUAGGCGGUUUGGCAAGUCGGGUGUGAAAACUCCGGGCUCAACCCGGAGACGCCACUCGAUACUGCUAUGACUUGAGUCCGGUAGGGGAGUGCGGAAUUCCUGGUGUAGCGGUGAAAUGCGCAGAUAUCAGGAGGAACACCGGUGGCGAAGGCGGCACUCUGGGCCGGUACUGACGCUGAGGCGCGACAGCGUGGGGAGCAAACAGG